GUGCUCACUUCGGCAGCACAUAUACUGGAGUUGGAGCGAUACAGAGAAGGUUAGCAUGGCCCCUGCGAAAGGAUGACAUGUAAAUUUGUGAAGCGUUCCAUAUUUUA